rnacentral:rRNA from 1 species
GACGAACGCUGGCGGCGUGCUUAACACAUGCAAGUCGAACGGAAAGGCCCUGCUUUUGUGGGGUGCUCGAGUGGCGAACGGGUGAGUAACACGUGAGUAACCUGCCCUUGACUUUGGGAUAACUUCAGGAAACUGGGGCUAAUACCGGAUAGGAGCUCCUGCUGCAUGGUGGGGGUUGGAAAGUUUCGGCGGUUGGGGAUGGACUCGCGGCUUAUCAGCUUGUUGGUGGGGUAGUGGCUUACCAAGGCUUUGACGGGUAGCCGGCCUGAGAGGGUGACCGGCCACAGUGGGACUGAGAUACGGCCCAGACUCCUACGGGAGGCAGCAGUGGGGAAUAUUGCACAAUGGGCGGAAGCCUGAUGCAGCAAUGCCGCGUGCGGGAUGACGGCUUUCGGGUUAUAAACAGUCUUCGCCUGUGACGAAGCGUGAGUGACGGUAAUGGGUAAAGAAGCACCGGCUAACUACGUG